GGUGCUCACAGCUUUUGUUUAAGGAAGAUAAAGCUGAAGUCUUGGCAUCUGUAAGAGACUAGGUAUAAAGGUCAGUGGGGAUUUCUACCGUGCUUUUGUGGGAUAUCCCCUCAACCUUUGGAUACCAGCAACUGUCUUCUCCCCUGGACCUGACGCAGGCAUCUCAGGAGAGAAGCUGAGAAUGGAAAGGAGGAUUUCAAAAACCUUCUUCAAAGCUCGGUCUAAUGCUGCUGCUGGUACCUCUUCCCUCCCUCCCUCUACCCAAAGUGGAAGAGACAGUUAGGAAAAUGCAGAGGACUGCAUGGCACGCACCAUCAUUCACAUGAAACUCAAAUUAAAUUAAAAAAUGCAAGACGUCUGCCCUCUCCGAAGUCAACCCAGGAUCCCCCCCCACCCCAGCUCCCUGGAUUCCUCGGAAACCCCAGACUCGGCCCUUAGAGGCUAUGGGGCUAUUUUUUAAAUGAAAAGGUUCUUCGGUGGGGUCCUGUGGAGAAACGUGCCCAUCCAUCCAUCCGUCCGUCAGUCCGUCCAUCCGCCCAUCACACAAAACGGAUGUGCUCGGGGCAGAACCCAAGAGAGGGAAACACACCACCAAUGUUCAAAGGAUUCAUAACAAACAAUGAAGUUCAAAUUCAGAGGUAACGCGGGCUUGGCAAUCAAGCAUGAAUGUCGGUGGAAGUCACUAGAUAUGAUGAGCUCAUUUAGUUUUUAAAUCUGCAAGGUAAUGGUCUGUGUGGGGCCAUUACAGCAAAGGAACAAUUUUGAGUAUUUCACGUAAACGUCUCUUCUCGGUCUCUUUUUUCUCACACAUGCACGUGCGCGUGCACACACACACACACACACACACACAAAUGCCCCUCAUUUCUAGGAAACGAACUGCAGCUUCCCUACACCCUCCAAGGAGUAAACAGUGUCCUUCCCAAAGAACUGUUUCAUCCUACUUUCUCCACUGACCCUAAGUAACUGAGGAGUCUGGAAGCUCCAAAGAACAGACUCCCAGACCUUUAUGUACACGUGCCACCACCUCCAGGAUCUCUCACCCUCAUGGUCCCUUCCAAGACUCACAACACACAGCGUAAGAGAACCAGUGCUCAGCCCCAGGCAGACACAAUUCUAGCGCCCAAGGAAGCAGAAGAACCAAAGCCACAGACCCAAGCAGAGGGAGCACCUAGAAAAAGGGUGGCUGUCAUGCCAUUUCACUGACAGUCACUGAAGGCUGGUUUGGAGGCCAGGGUGCUACCAGGUGUGUCAAUCUACCUGGCGGCGCCGCAUGAGUGGAACUUCCCGUCUGUCCCUAACCAACCAGCCUCAUCGAGAAGACAGCAUGAAAUCCACAGAGGCUUCCAGGUCCACUGUGACCACAGGCAGUUUACCAAAGGCAGCAGGAUCUGUCCUGACCCAUUGUGGAAUGCAAACCUGAGGCCUGUGACCAUGGGGUCCCCAGAACUGAGCAGAUAUCACCAUCUUGGCCUUAGCUUUGAAUCUUCCUACUCAGGUGCUCCAACUGUGGGGCCUUCGACCAGGAGAUCCUCACGGCAGAUCAAAGAAACCUAUUCAGCAGCACAUAUAUUAAAAUAAAGCUGGAGCUACAA